rnacentral:lncRNA from 10 species
CUAGAACCUCCUUCCAAAGCCAGGAGCAGGGGAAUAGUUCCUGUAUGCUUAGGCAUAGCACAAAGUUGAUGAGGACUAUGAAGGGCCACAAACCUGUUCACAGCCCUGUGCUUCAGAGCCACAGCAGCACGGGCCAUGCCCCUGAGAGGGUCACCAUAAUGAACUCAGAGAAAGCCAGACCCAAGCAGCCUUGGAAUGGGUUCCUGAGUGGACACUACUGUAACUUAGAUAGGAAAGAUCAACCUGAACACCAGUAAAGAGAGAGGACAAACUGUACCAGCUACCACCCCCCAAUUCAUGCCUCGAACUAAAGAUGGCCCCAGAAUGAGACAGAACCUCAUCCAAGGGAGCUGUUUCAACUUGCAAUGCAAUAGGAACUUAGCUUAUGGACUAAAUUUCAUUCCUACGAAAACACUCACCUUUUGCCACAUCAUCAUUGACCCUAACCUAAAGCACAUCAUCAGGAAUGCCCUCUGAGGCUAGGAGCCAAAGGCCUCUUGCUUUAAGAGGAUGGAAACUGCACACUAUUGACCUGUUUUGAAUUCCAAAAACAAUCUGAACCCAAGGUUGAAAGGUCACCUCUGUGACGGUUAAGUUGUUUGUAACGAAGUGAAUUGAAAUGUGUUAAAGGUGAUACUGGGCAAAGCAUCCAGAGCUUCAGAGCUGUUUGCCUUCCAAGAGAGCGCUGGCCCUCCUCCUCCACAAAGUUCCUGUGGUUUGUGCUUGGAAGACUCCUCCUCUGAUAGACCCGUGACAGCCCACAGCAGGAUAAAAGGCACCUCCAUUUUUCAUUGAAAACUUGGAAAGAAUCAUUUUUAGAAGCUGCACAAGAUUUCAUUGUAUGUAUACACCAUGAUUUAUGGAUCUACAGCUCCAUUUUUACACAUUUCUGUAACACAUUUUGUACUAUACUAAAAACGCUGUACUAAAAAUACUUUUGACAUUUUGAAUUAUUUCCUACAAAAUAUUCAUAAUUAAAUUUUAUGUUAAUGCUUUUGAUCACUUCCAUAUUCUAUAAGACUUCAAUUUUUUAAGAAAAGCUGUCUAAAGAAUAUUCCUUAUACUAACAAUCCAUUUACAAAAACAAAUUAGAAAUGAAGCAUUCCACCUUUAUAGCAUUGUCUAAUAUUUUAUAUUUAUAUUUUACAAUAGUUUAUAAUUCUCCAGAAAACCUUUUGUUUACCAUUUGUUCAACUUUGCUGUAAAUGAGUUCAGAGAGAAUAGAAAAUCUGUAAACUUUCUCCUUGCUAGCUGCCAGGAGCAGCUUAGGAUUCUUACCCUCAUGGGACAGAGUCCAUAGUUGAGGUCUUGAUUCGGAGUCUGCCCCCCACCCACCAACUCUCCCUUCUGAGAGGCUACACCCCAAAAUUAGUUGGUUGUGGGAAUUAGACAUUGAAGGAUAGGAAGGUCUGCAGGGGAGGAAGGGAAGGAAGGAGAGGAGAAUUCAGGAGAAAGAGAGAAGAUGAGGGGGCAGGAGAGAAAACAGUGAAAAAGGUAAAGAGGUAGGAGAGGGGAGAAAUAGGGAAGAGUUUAAAAUAAGCUGCAUCCAAAUAUUGUUCUCAGAUUUGUUUAAUUAAUCCUAUCAGAAAUGCAAAUCAAAGCCACAAUAAGAUAUUAUCUCAUGCCAGUUAGAAUGGCGAUCAUUAAAAAGUCCAGAAACAACAGAUGCUGGAGAGGAUAUGGAGAAAUAGGAACGCUUUUAUACUGUUGGUGGGAGUGUAAAUUAGUUCAACCAUUGUGAAAGACAGUGUGGUGAUUCCCCAGGGAUUUAGGACCAGAAAUACCAUUUGACCCAGCAAUCCCAUUACUGGGUAUAUAUACAAAGGAUUAUAAAUCAUUUUACUAUAAAGACACAUGCACACAUAUGUUUAUUGUGGCACUGUUCACAAUAGCAAAAACUUGGAACCAACCCAAAUGCCUAUCAAUGAUAGACUGGAAAAAGAAUAUAUGGCACAUAUACACCAUGGAAUACUAUGCAACCAUAAAAAGGAUGAGUUCAUGUCCUUUGUAGGGACAUAGAUGCAGCUGGAAACCAUCAUUUUCAGCAAACUAAAACAAGAACAGAAAACCAAACACUGCAUGUUCUCAUUCAUAGGUGGCAGUUGAACAAUAAGAACACAUGGACACAGGGAGGGGAACAUCACACACCGGGGCCUGUUGGGGGAUGGGGGACUAGGGGAGGGAUAACAUUAGGAGAAAUAGCUAAUGUAGAUGACGGGUUGAUGGGUGCAGCAAACACCACGGCACGUGUAUACCUACGUAAAGAACCUGCACGUUCUGCACAUGUAUCCCAGAACUUAAGGUAUAAAAAAAAAACCUUUCAGGGAUUUUUGUUUGAUUGGUUGGUUAGUUUCAUUUUUGCUUGUUGUUUUGGUUCUUUUUUAAUUAGAAGAGCUGUUUUAUUUCCCUUUUGCUGCAAGGACUGCAAUCUUUCUAUCAACAGCAAACUGGAGAUUUUCUUUCAGAUGAAGCAUUUCUGCACCUCUUCAUCUUCGUUAGUUUCCCUGCAGGCAGGUGGAACGGCCAUGCAGCUCUGGUUGUGCUCAUGUCAUCACUGUCAUGUUGAUAAUCCACUCACUUGGCAAGUGUCUGACUAGACGUAGCAGCAUUGUGGCCUAGCAGCUUCACUAAGCCAUUACACAGAUGCUAACUGGCUCUUCGGGCAGAGCAGUGGUCUAGACUUGCACACUGGGCCUUGGUUUCUCUUGUGCAUGCAUUGAAUAAUUAAGUGAAUGUUCUUUGAAGUCAAGUUAUAAAUGGUUCAGAAUUUGGGUUGUUUAAAUCAUGAAAUAUUUUGUAUCACUUCAAAAAUAAGAAUACUGAUGUUUUAAUUUACAAUAACAUGAAAUGUAAAAAAUCAUAUAGGAAUCAGUAGACAGAGGCCUUUUAUUCCUGGAGCUGCACUGGAUUUGGAAGUGUGGGUCUGUGAGGGAGAGAGGGGCCAAUAGAAGAAGAAAGGGUGAAGAAAUUUACUACUCUACUUUGCUGCCAAAAGAACCCCAG